rnacentral:rRNA from 1 species
AACUCGACUACAUGAAGCUGGAAUCGCUAGUAAUCGUAGAUCAGCAUGCUACGGUGAAUACGUUCCCGGGUCUUGUACACACCGCCCGUCACACCACGAGAGUUUGUAACACCCGAAGCCGGUGGAGUAACCUUUUAGGAGCUAGCCGUCGAAGGUGGGACAAAUGAUUGGGGUGAAGUCGUAACAAGGUAGCCGUAUCGGAAGGUGCGGCUGGAUCACCUCCUUU